CAGUCGCCACGGUAAUACGGAGGGGGCUAGCGUUGUUCGGAAUUACUGGGCGUAAAGCGCACGUAGGCGGCUUGGUAAGUUAGAGGUGAAAGCCCGGAGCUCAACUCCGGAAUUGCCUUUAAGACUGCCGAGCUAGUAGGUGAGAGAGGUAAGUGGAAUUCCGAGUGUAGAGGUGAAAUUCGUAGAUAUUCGGAAGAACACCAGUGGCGAAGGCGGCCCGCUGGACAAGUAUUGACGCUGAGGUGCGAAAGCGUGGGGAGCAAACAGGAUUAGAUACCCCUGUAGUCCCUGUCUCUUAUAC
rnacentral:rRNA from 1 species